UACAGAGGGUGCGAGCGUUGUCCGGAAUCAUUGGGCGUAAAGGGCUCGUAGGCGGUUUGUCGCGUCGGGAGUGAAAUCCACUGGCUUAACUGGUGGCUUGCUUUCGAUACGGGCAGACUGGAGGUAUGCAGGGGAGAACGGAAUUCCUGGUGUAGCGGUGAAAUGCGCAGAUAUCAGGAGGAACACCGGUGGCGAAGGCGGUUCUCUGGGCAUGUCCUGACGCUGAGGAGCGAAAGUGUGGGGAGCGAACAGG
rnacentral:rRNA from 1 species